UACGUAGGAUCCAAGCGUUGUCCGGAUUUACUGGGUGUAAAGGGUGCGCAGGCGGACUUGUUAGUCAGAGGUGAAAUCUCACUGCUCAACAGUGAAACUGCCUUUGAUACUGCAGGUCUUGAAUCCAGAAGAGAGUUGUGAAAUUCCGAGUGUAGCAGUGAAAUGUGUAGAUAUUCGGAAGAACACCAGCGGCGAAGGCAGCAACUUGGUCUGGUAUUGACGCUCAGGCACGAAAGCAUGGGGAUCAAACAGG
rnacentral:rRNA from 1 species